rnacentral:rRNA from 1 species
AAGCCGACGAUCGGUAGCCGGUCUGAGAGGAUGAACGGCCACAUUGGAACUGAGACACGGUCCAGACUCCUACGGGAGGCAGCAGUGGGGAAUCUUCCGCAAUGGGCGAAAGCCUGACGGAGCAACGCCGCGUGAGUGAAGACGGCCUUCGGGUUUGUAAAACUCUGUGAUUCGGGACGAAAGAUAAGUAGACGAAUAAUCUGCAUAAGUGACGGUACCGAAAAAGCAAGCCACGGGCUAACUACGUGCCAGCAGCCGCGGUAAAU